GAGAGGAGCUUGCUCCUUGAUUUAGCGGCGGACGGGUGAGUAAUGCCUAGGAAUCUGCCUGGUAGUGGGGGAUAACGUUCCGAAAGGAACGCUAAUACCGCAUACGUCCUACGGGAGAAAGCAGGGGACCUUCGGGCCUUGCGCUGUCAGAUGAGCCUAGGUCGGAUUAGCUAGUUGGUGAGGUAAUGGCUCACCAAGGCGACGAUCCGUAACUGGUCUGAGAGGAUGAUCAGUCACACUGGAACUGAGACACGGUCCAGACUCCUACGGGAGGCAGCAGUGGGGAAUAUUGGACAAUGGGCGAAAGCCUGAUCCAGCCAUGCCGCGUGUGUGAAGAAGGUCUUCGGAUUGUAAAGCACUUUAAGUUGGGAGGAAGGGCAUUAACCUAAUACGUUAGUGUUUUGACGUUACCGACAGAAUAAGCACCGGCUAACUUCGUGCCAGCAGCCGCGGUAAUACGAAGGGUGCAAGCGUUAAUCGGAAUUACUGGGCGUAAAGCGCGCGUAGGUGGUUCGUUAAGUUGGAUGUGAAAGCCCCGGGCUCAACCUGGGAACUGCAUCCAAAACUGGCGAGCUAGAGUACGGUAGAGGGUGGUGGAAUUUCCUGUGUAGCGGUGAAAUGCGUAGAUAUAGGAAGGAACACCAGUGGCGAAGGCGACCACCUGGACUGAUACUGACACUGAGGUGCGAAAGCGUGGGGAGCAAACAGGAUUAGAUACCCUGGUAGUCCACGCCGUAUACGAUGUCAACUAGCCGUUGGGUUCCUUGAGAACUUAGUGGCGCAGCUAACGCAUUAAGUUGACCGCCUGGGGAGUACGGCCGCAAGGUUAAAACUCAAAUGAAUUGACGGGGG
rnacentral:rRNA from 1 species